rnacentral:ncRNA from 2 species
GUGUUUGCCUUAAGAAAAGAUGCCUGCAAAGGCUUAAUUGGGAAUCUGGUGAAAUCCAGAACUGCCCCCGCAACUGUAAAUGCUGACGAAAUGGACAAGCCACUGAAUAAUAAAGCUAACGAAAAGGCGAUUAUUCGGGAAGGGUUCAAAGUAGGACGAAGCAUGAGUCAGGAGACCUGUCUUUCUUAAGUAGUUUCA